rnacentral:rRNA from 1 species
UACGUAGGGUGCAAGCGUUGUCCGGAAUUAUUGGGGCGUAAAGAGCUCGUAGGCGGUCUGUCACGUCGGAUGUGAAAAAUCCAGGGCUUAACCCUGGACCUGCAUUCGAUACGGGCAGACUAGAGUUCGGUAGGGGAGACUGGAAUUCCUGGUGUAGCGGUGAAAUGCGCAGAUAUCAGGAGGAACACCGGUGGCGAAGGCGGGUCUCUGGGCCGAUACUGACGCUGAGGAGCGAAAGCGUGGGGAGCGAACAGG